rnacentral:lncRNA from 1 species
GUGACGUCAUUGCAAGAUGCAAGAUAAAUAGGACUCAUUUAUUACAUUUUAGUUGGUGUUCAACAUGUGCAAGCGGGUGAUUAAUUAUAGAAGAAAUUACACUUUAUGUCUGGCCACUAUCCUAACAAAAUAUGGCUCAUAUUUUCCCUUCUUACCUGGUGUGGUCCAGUUUUAUAUUGUUGAAAUUUUUGUUCAUUGAUUAGCCCUCGCCGCCCCUACUCUUUUUCUUUAUGCAGAUGAAACUUUUCCAUUUCCAGAUUCUCUUUCAGACUUUCUCCCCACCCUACUUUCUCUUUCAUUUUCAAUCUCUUGCUCUUUCUCUGUCUCUUUCUCUCUCUCUGGUAAAAUAGUCGAAUUCUUCUUCAGAUUUUCUUGCUCUGUUCAUCCCACUUUGUGUGCAAAUAUGGGAUGCUUUGACGGUUUGGAAAUACAAAUAGAUGGUUGUGCAUCUUGUGGUGCCUAGAGCAAUUCUGUGAAUAAUCAACACUUCCUUCUGUUUUCCCUCAAGGUUUUCGUGUGAAUCUGUUCAUUAUCUUCCUCUUGCGCACCGGAUCUAUCUUCCCUCUGUAUAGUUAUGAAAUCUCUUUUUUUUUUGGUAAUUUUGCUUCUUCUUAUUCUUCACUUUAAAUAACUUCUAAAGGGAGGAAGAAUGAUGUAUAUGUUGUAUAUACAUAUAUACUUUGUAUAAUCAUGUAUAAUCGUGUAUAUUUAUGGGUAUUCUCAUAGUUAUACAGAAUUAUACAUGAUUAUACAUAAGUAUAUAAGAUUAUACAUAAUUACAGAUGCUUAUAUUUAUGUGUAUAACAAUGUAUAUAAGGUGUUUAAUAAUGUAAAUUUUUACUUCCAGUGAAAUAAGAAUUUCC